ensembl:lncRNA
AUGGACCAGUGCAUGGAUCCUCCAGCAAACGUCCAGGUGUACAGUGAAAAAAAAGUCUUGUUUGGGGGCAAAGCUUUGAGGAAAGAGAUACAAGCUCUGUUCUUGUGUUGUCUAACAGGCACAUGUUCCUGUCCUGUAACUUUACCCCCGGACACCUCUUUCUUUACAUCCCACUGUUCCACUCGGCAAGAUCAUCAUAGCCAAAUCACCCGUGGCCCCUUUUGCCGUGCUGAGCUACACCGUUCAGAGGGAGGGCAUCCGUCUCGAGGGUGAGUGUACUAGAUGGACAGCAUACUGACAAAACUCAUGUUAUGAGACAUGUUUAAUUGACCUUGAUGUACCCGAGAGAUUGAUGAUUGAUAUCAGUGGUAACAGUUGAGCAUCAUUAAAAUAUCAAAGAAUAGUCAAACAGCUCACACUUCCUGUUAAUGCCCGUGCCACAGCUUAUAUGAGCUCACAUUCAGAAGCUUGUUCUUCUUUUUGUUGGGUUUUAUUAGAGGAAGCAAGUACUAAAUUAGUGCAUUUGGUGCUUUUGAUUAGAGAGAUGUUGUAGAUUUUGUAUGGGACAUUUAUUGUAUUAAAAAAAAAAACAAGUUUAGAGCUGCAACUAACUACCAUUCUGAUAAUCUGUUCAUCUGUUAAUUAUUUUGUUGAUUAAUCGAUAUUCAAAAUGAAAUCAGGUCGCAUGUUGAAAAGUCAGGGAACUUUUGUUGCUAAAGACCUUUCCACACACACACACACACACACCCACACACACACCCACAAACACAAACACACACACACACACACACAUAUAUAUAUAAGGUUUUAAAAGGUUUAUGUUCACCAAGGUUGCAUUUACUUGAUCAAAAAUACAGUAAACACAACAAUACUGUGAAGUAUUAAUGCAACUAAAAAUUGUAUAUAUGUAUUGAUAUAUUUUAAAAUGGAAUUUCUGUAAUGGUUUUCCUCAGUGUCACAUUAUAUUUCAUAAAUCAUUCUAAUAUGUUGUAUGUUUGUUUAUCAGCUGUACUGCAAAAUUUUGCGGAAACGGUACAGUAUAU